rnacentral:lncRNA from 1 species
CGGCCACCCCAGGGCCCUUUUGAAGUCCAAGAUGUUGAAGCCAGAGGGGUCUAAAUUCCUACGGGAGAAGCAAUAUGUGUAGUACCAGAGGGAGGAAGUCUAGAAGCCUGUAUUCCUGCCUGACUCUAGCAUUGGCUUGCCAUGUGACUUGGACAAGCACUUCCCCUUGCCAGGCCCCAGGUUCUUUAAGAUAGAGAAGCUGUUGUCAGAUGCAAGCUUUCUAUAUUCCUGGAACUUAUCUGGGAAUUAUUUCUUGACCCAGGGUGCUAGUGCCCAGCAGGCAUCUUUGUCCCUAGCUGAACCCCAGCGUGGACAAGCUGCCUUCCCAUCCUGGCUCUGAAAUCCUAUGCUUCAGUGAAGAAGGGGUUCCCCCUGGUGUCUCUGUCUCUGCAAUAAAGGGUUCAGGAUGGAAAC